rnacentral:misc_RNA from 1 species
GAUGAAGAACGUAGCGAAAUGCGAUAAGUAAUGUGAAUUGCAGAAUUCAGUGAAUCAUCGAAUCUUUGAACGCACAUUGCGCCCCUUGGUAUUCCGAGGGGCAUGCCUGUUCGAGCGUCAUUAUAACCCCUCAAGCUCAGCUUGGUGUUGGGGCCUGCUGCACUGGCAGCCCUUAAAAUCAGUGGCGGCGCCAUCUGGCUCUAAGCGUAGUAAUUCUUCUCGCUAUGGAGUCCUGGUGGAUGCUUGCCAUUAACCCCCAAUUUUUCUAUGGUUGACCUCGGAUCAGGUAGGGAUACCCGCUGAACUUAAGCAUAUCAAUAAGCGGAGGA